CAACAGACCUGAUUGAUUCCAGGUAGUGUUCUGCUACUUUGAGGAUAAAGCUAUUCAGAAAGACAAAUCUGGGAUGAUGCAGUGUGUGAUUGCUGUUGCAGACAAAGUGUUCGAUGCCUUCCUAAACAUGAUGGCAGAUAAAGCCAAGACAAAGGAGAAUGAAGAGGAGCUAGAGCGACAUGCUCAGUUUCUGUUGGUGAGCUUCAACCACAUUCACAAGAGGACAAGGAGGGUGGCCGACAAGUACCUGUCUGGUCUGGUGGAUAAGUAAGU
rnacentral:lncRNA from 1 species